UAAGCUCUACCCAAUAAACAUUCGGAUGACUUUUGGAGGACUUGAAAGGUGUCGAAGACUGCAUGAAAAAACAUAUCAAAAGGAUUAGAAGCAAAAAUGAUUACCGUUGGAGGCGAUAAUUUCGACAAAGCUAUAAAAAAAA